GGGCCCGCACAAGCGGUGGAGCAUGUGGUUCAAUUCGAAGCAACGCGAAGAACCUUACCAGCCCUUGACUUGGGGAGUGUGGGUCGCAGAAACGUGACCCUUCAGUUCGGCUGGCUCCCACACAGGUGCUGCAUGGCUGUCGUCAGCUCGUGUCGUGAGAUGUUGGGUUAAGUCCCGCAACGAGCGCAACCCUCAUCUUCAGUUGCCAUCAUUAAGUUGGGCACUCUGAAGAAACUGCCGGUGACAAGCCGGAGGAAGGCGGGGAUGACGUCAAGUCCUCAUGGCCCUUACGGGCUGGGCUACACACGUGCUACAAUGGCGGUGACAAUGGGAUGCAAGGGGGCGACCCUGCGCCAAUCUCAAAAAGCCGUCUCAGUUCGGAUUGCACUCUGCAACUCGAGUGCAUGAAGUCGGAAUCGCUAGUAAUCGUGGAUCAGCACGCCACGGUGAAUACGUUCCCGGGCCUU
rnacentral:rRNA from 1 species